GUCUACAUAGAUUAUAUGAAAUCGUGAUGCUGUUAACUUCAAGAAGGGAUGCGUCCCUGUAGUCG
rnacentral:tRNA from 2 species